AGAAGAAAACAUAUCAUCUCGAGUAUGCUGCUGUUCCACAUACAAGUUUUUUCUGUGGAACAGCAGCAUAGUCGAGAUUAUAUGUUUUCUUC
rnacentral:pre_miRNA from 1 species